rnacentral:lncRNA from 1 species
UAUUGAGGAUGGUGCACGUCUUUGAUUGUAGCACUGGGCACUGGAAAAGCAGAGGCAGGCUAAUCUCUACAGGACCCUAGCAUGGCUGCCUUCCCAGAAGCUCAAUGAGCAGCUGAAAGAGCCAGAUGCAGAUACUUACACCCAAUCAAUGGACAGAAGCCGGUGACCUCUGUGGUUGAAUUAUGGAAAGGCUGGAAGAAAGCUGAGAAGGAGGGCUACCCUGUAGAAAGAACAUCAGUUUCUUAAUCUGGAUGCUGGAGAUCUCUUGGUCACUGAUCCACCAACCAGCCUGCAGGUCUGCUUGGGAUCAUAAACUAUGCCUGUCAUCUUUGAAUCCCUAGCCUUUAGCUCUCACACCCACUGUAGAUGCUCAAUAAGGAACAGGAGCACAUAUCUGAAUUUAUUUCACAACGCUGAGUGGAAGAUGUAAAAUGGUCCUUUAUUGUCUCUGAGCUACACCUUCCACUGGGGAAUCAGCAGAGUAAUGAACACAGAUGAAGCCUGCAACAAGCACGCCAGGUUCUGAUUACUUUUACUUCUUUGCUAAAGGACAUACCUGAGGGUAAAACAUCUUAGUUUUAUUCUGUGCGGCAAGUGGCACACCAAAGAGAUUAAAUGGUAACUGUAGAGUGGCUUCAGAGGAGGCAAGGUGCCUCUAAAUUCUAGUUCUCUAUUGUUCUAAGAGAGUUGAAAUAGAAAAUACUAGCACUUAAAUUUUAGACGCAACAAUCAUUAAUUGGUAUAUCCUUAUGAGACAGUUAACUAGCACUAUAUUUUUAGCUUUCUUAGCUGUUUCUCUAAUCAUAUCUAGUGUGUUGAUGAAGAUAUGGUUCUUGGAGGACAUUGGUAGCUUGCUUGCUUAGCUUCCAUGAGUCCCAGGGAGUUCAUCCCCAAAACUAUAUAAACUGGGCUUGGUGGUGUAGAGCAGUAACCCUGAGACAUUGCCAAGGCAGAAGCAGGAGCAAAAGCUCAAGGUCACAGUGGUUUUUGCGUGGCGAGUUCAGGGCCAGCCAGGAAUACAUAAGCUCCUGUCUCAAGAAGAAAGGGCCAGGGUAUGGGGUUAACUAAUCAGUCCUAUAUAUUCUUUCUCUUGCCCCAAAUGAGUACUCAGUGAUUCUUAUGAAUAAGUUCAGAAAGAAUUCUCAUAUUUUCAAUAGCAACAGUUGACUGAAGAUGCAAUGCAGUAUGAUUGUUUUCUCUGGUAAGAGAUGGCAAAGGUAGUUUGGC